GGGAGGGCGUCCUGGGCGCCGGAGGGAAGGUUAUCUUUGCCCCUGCUGGAAGCUGCGAUAGUUUUAGCAACAGUUGCUACAGGCGUUAUUCAUACUUUUAUUAAAGCGGUUGCAGCAAUUUUGGUUAUGUUCUCCUGCACUUCUGAAAGAUCAUAUCCUGAAGUUUUCAGAGGGAGUGGAGAUGGAAAAUUCAUGUUUCCACUGAGACAAGUAUUUCAACCAUAGAAUUUAAACUUCUUUCAGGAACAUAAAAACUACACAGAAUUUUUCUUUAAAAAAAUGAUAUGCCAUUUUCCAAAUUGUAUAGUGAUUUAAAAACCCAAAAUAGAUAUCUGGAUGUUAUCUGAUUGAAUAAUUGGCUCUAUAGAAUUUUAGCACUGCCUUUUUUUCACCGUAAAUGUGCUUUUAAAAACAGGAAAGUCCUUAAGAGUGUCGUAAGAAUUUAAGUAGAAGAAUGUUGAGCCUUCAGCUUCAUUCCUAACAGAAGUCUUCAUUGGAUAAAGGACCCUUGUUACUAGAAUGAUACCAAUUUGAAACAAUCCAAACAAAUUGAUUUGUAAAUUGUAACAGUUUCAUGGUUUAGCAUCCAAGAUUCUUGUUAAGGCCAAAUAAAGGGCAUUUAAGUGCAAUUGUUUAAUUUUGAAAGUACUUUUCACAUGCAUAAAACUGAUAGAAUUACUAAAUACCAAUUAUUUCACCAGGGUUUAUAGUUUAUAACCAAUAAGAACAAAAUUAACACACGUAAUGAUUAAUGUUGCACAAGAUACAUCCCUUUAUUACUGUAAUCACAAAAUCUUGAUUAUUUACAGGAAUGUGUAUGUGAACAUUAAUAAAUGCAUUCUGUUUCAUAAAGAUCAAGUAGACAGAACUUAUAGUAAAGAACAAAAA